rnacentral:rRNA from 1 species
AGCGAACGCUGGCGGCAGGCCUAACACAUGCAAGUCGAACGAACACUUCGGGGUUAGUGGCGGACGGGUGUGUAACACGUGGGAACGUGCCUUUUGGUUCGGAAUAACUCAGGGAAACUUGUGCUAAUACCGAAUGUGCCCUUCGGGGGAAAGAUUUAUCGCCAUUGGAGCUGCCCGCGUCUGAUUAGCUAGUUGGUGAGGUAACGGCUCACCAAGGCGACGAUCAGUAGCUGGUCUGAGGGGAUGACCAGCCACACUGGGACUGAGACACGGCCCAGACUCCUACGGGAGGCAGCAGUGGGGAAUCUUGCGCAAUGGGCGGAAGCCUGACGCAGCCAUGCCGCGUGAAUGAUGAAGGUCUUAGGAUUGUAAAAUUCUUUCACCGGGGACGAUAAUGACGGUACCCGGAGAAGAAGCCCCGGCUAACUUCGUG